AGCGAACGCUGGCGGCAGGCCUAACACAUGCAAGUCGAACGAACUCUUCGGAGUUAGUGGCGGACGGGUGAGUAACACGUGGGAACGUGCCUUUUGGUUCGGAAUAACUCAGGGAAACUUGUGCUAAUACCGAAUGUGCCCUUCGGGGGAAAGAUUUAUCGCCAUUAGAGCGGCCCGCGGCUGAUUAGCUAGUUGGUGAGGUAACGGCUCACCAAGGCGACGAUCAGUAGCUGGUCUGAGAGGAUGACCAGCCACACUGGGACUGAGACACGGCCCAGACUCCUACGGGAGGCAGCAGUGGGGAAUCUUGCGCAAUGGGCGAAAGCCUGACGCAGCCAUGCCGCGUGAAUGAUGAAGGUCUUAGGAUUGUAAAAUUCUUUCACCGGGGACGAUAAUGACGGUACCCGGAGAAGAAGCCCCGGCUAACUUCGUG
rnacentral:rRNA from 1 species